rnacentral:lncRNA from 1 species
AGAUUAUCCUAUAAGCGCAUCUGCUAUUGUUAUGACAAUCUCUAUUUGGCGCAUCUGCCAAGAUCACGACAUUCACUACUUGGUGCAUCUACCGAUAUUAUUCUCAAGCGCAUCUGCUAGUUUUAUGACAUUCUUUAAUUGGUGCAUCUACCAAUAUCAUUCUUAAUCAUCUUUCAUACCUCAUCAUUUUAUCACAUACCAACUAUCUCAUCUACCCAUGUUCUACCCAACAUAUUUGUAGAUAUAAAAUACAUAUACAGUUUAACUCAUUUAAAAACUAUAUAAAACAUUCAUUCCAUACUCAUCUCAAAUAAACAACAAUAUAUAAACACAUAGCACGUAUUUUAUAACAAAUACUUCAUAUUUAUGUGUUAGAAGAAAGUAACCACACACUCUCCCAAACAUAUACUUAAUACAUUCAAACAAUACUUGUAUUAUACCCGUGUUUAUGAAAGGGACUAUACACCCACACAUAUAAACAACUUUAUAUUAUACACAUAGCACGUAUUUUAUAGAAAAUACUUAAUAUUUAUGUGUUAGAAGAAAGUAACUACACACUCACUCGAUCAGAAGAUGAUCGGACAGCACUACGGCUUGUAGAAGUAGUAUUCUUCGGCAGAUCUGGAAGAUCUUCACAAAAACCGGACUCCUCGCGGGCAGAGCUUCGGCUCGGGAAUUUCACUUCUCGGGAUCUUCGGGGCCUCGGGACUUGCUUCGGGGCUCGGGAAUGAUACCGGGGCUUCGGGAUAAUUCUUGCACGAAAAACGAUGCAAAAACGCGAGAAAAAGGGAAGAAAUGAGCAAACUACUCGGCUGCCCUCGACACCCUUUUAUAGGGGGCUGAAACUCGAAUUACGCUGGGCGUAAUUCUACAUUACGCUGGGCGUAAUGUGGAUCAGAUCGCUGACUCCCCCCAUGGAUAAUAUCGGCCAAUAUAUAUUUAAAUUAAAUAUCGAAAAUAUUUAAUAAACUUCAAAAAUUCAUAUCUUCCUCAUACGAACUCCGUUUUCGACGUUCUUUAUAUCCCCGCGUAGGUGAGACUACGCUCUACAACUUUCGUUUAGACUUCGUCGGCUAAUUUUGACUUUAUUUUUAUUAUUUAUUUUUAGUAGGCCGGGACAGGAAAACUCCGUUAUAAAAUCAUAACUUCUUCAUCCGACGUCCGUUUUCGCCUAUCUUUUUAUCGUUUUACUACAAUUAAUGAGAUCUUCAAUUCUCAUUUAGAUUGUUUCGGCUAAAAACCGCUCGGUCUCAAAUCGAGCAUUCGGGCUGCAUACCGCUAAGUCGAAACUUCGAAAAAUCAUAACUUCCUCAUACGAAGUCAGAUUUGGGCGUUCUUUUUAUGCACGCUCAUGGUUUAACGUAUUCUACGACUUUCAUUUAGAUUGCUAAGGCUAAAUAUCGCUCUAACGUAAAUUCACUUUUUACGUCGCGCUGUGUCGUGCCGGUUCUGUCGCGAAACUUCGACAGGUCAUAACUUCUUCGUUAUAACUCGGAUUUCGGCGUUCUUUAUAUGUACGGAAUCCUUGUAACAUAUACUACAACUUAGUUAAGAUUAUUCAUUCUAAAUAAUCUUUCAUCAAAAAUUCAUUUUUGACGCCUAUCGUCUCUAAAUUGACUAGCCCUGAUCUACGGGCGUUACAAUUAUCUCCCCCUUAGGAUGAUUACGUCCCGGAAUCAUCAACGAAAAUAGAACUUGUAUAAUGAUUCCAUACGCUAUCUCUUCAUCCUAGGUAAUAACCGUAAAUUCUAUGUUUCCUCGAAAGAGUAUUUAACUCUAUGGCUUUCUUGACCGCAGACGAUGCCCAAUCUUGCAUCUGCUUAUCGUACUAUGUUGUACUUUCAAUCGUAACCCUCGAGUUACCAAAUAAGUCGUUAUUAUGGACUCCUUCUUCUUCUCAGGAUAAAUACUUUCCUUUAUCUAUUGUAACAAACCGAUGGGUCGUGCUCUACUGACCUCUCAUCGAAUGAUGCAAUGCUUAGACUCAGGUCUCUUAGAGUUAAAUUCCAAAAUGGAAUAUACCUUCCUUCAUAUUCUAAUGUGAUAUAAUCACAUUUCAGCAUGUAGCAUUUCUACCUACAAACUUCUUUUAACAACGAGCGCGACACUAUCAAUCGCAUUAACUUCAACCUUCUGACUUAAGUCAGAUGUUACAUCUAACUUGGUCCUCUAGACCACGUAACAUACUCCUCGUAGUCGAACUCAAAUUUAAACAUGACCACUAGGGUCGGAACAAGAACCAUCUUACUAGUCAUUACCGAAACAAUGGUAAUGACAUACCAGAAUAAAAUGGAAUCAAUCACUAGCUUCUUGGUAACCUUGUGACUUUCCCUGAUCCAAGUGCGAGUCCUGUGCUUCCGGUAGUAUAUGCAUCUACUACCUUUCACACCUACUCAUACUCGUCCCAAGUAUUGUCCUGCAGUCGACCAAGUCACCAUACAAGAAAAUCAGACAAUCAUUCAACACAUCAGUUAGCAAAACUAGGGUUUAUAUUAAUUCCUUGAAACGAUUACACAAAAGUUCAAGUUCAACCUAUACUAUGCCUCUAAUAGGCUACAUACAUGAUACUUUUCAUAUCGCUACUUUAUAACUUGAUCUUUAGAUAUAAGAUCCUUAUUCCUGAUUCCUUGCAUUGCCAUCUGCUUCAUCAAGGAUCAUUUGAAAUGCUCUUGCCUUUAGCUUUGGCGGCGCCUCUAGCCUUGCUGCUUGAUUUUUCCUUGGGCAGUCUUGCUUGAAGUGCCCCUCUUCGUUACAUUCGUAACACACCUUUUUGUUGAAAAUACAUUCAUCGGCGUAAUGCCCAUGCUUUCCACACUUGAAACAUGUCACCUCCACGCCACAUUUUCCUGAGUGCUUCUUCUUGCACUUAUCGCACCACCUUGCCUCAUCCCUUCCUCCUCCUCCAGACUUCGAGAAUUUUCUCUUCUCAUUAGAACUUGAAGUUCCUUCUAACAUUCUCUUCUCGCAAACUUCAACCUUAUUGUCAGUCCUCCCCUUGAUCAUAUUCUCAACAGACUUGGUAGCCCAAAUAGCUGCCUCUCAAGUAGGUGCCUAACGCACUGGCACUGCAUACUCCCAAGGGAGUCCCUUUGCGUACUGGUCGACUUUUGUCAGUUCGUUUGGGACGAUGCGCAAAGGAAACUCCAUCUUGUCUGUGAAGACAUUAGUGUAUUCAUCCACUGACAUGCUGCCUUUCUUCAAUAUCAGAAAUUUGUUCUCCAACUCUAGCAGGUUUUGGGCCGAGCAGAACUUGCGCUUGAAUUGCAUCAAGAACUCUGCCUAGGUCAGUUGUAGUGGCUCAUUAGGUCUUAGGAUCUUCCCUAGAGUGUUCCACCAUCGAAUGGCUCCACCUCGGAACUGACGCACUGCAUAGAUAGUCUGCAACUUGCCUCUACAACCACAAGUCAUGAAGGCUAACUCCAUUUAUGAGAUCCAAUCCGUAACUCCAAUUGGAUCCUCCUUUCCAUUGAAGGUCGAUGGUUUGCAAGUUAGAAAGUCCUUGUACUUGCAUCCCAUUCCAUCAUUCCUUCCAUCAUGGUUGUGUUGUCUAACUAUUGGUGGGUUGGCUUGACCAACAGACCCACUGAAGUUUCCACCUUUCGAGUGCCCUUCAUUUAAUUCAGGCUCUUCCACAUGAAUUGAUAGUUCUUCACGAUUCUGUUGAAGCAACCGCCUAGUCUCCUCCAUUUGACGAUCCAAAAUCGUUUGAAUCAUCAAUUGUACACCAGCCAUUGUUAUCGGCUCAGGUGCUACUGCUAUGACAGGUAUUUGCUCAAUCACGGGUGGUUGAUUCCUGUUUUCAUCAGCAUAUCCAACUCCACUUCUUGUUCUCACCAUUUUUGAUCUACACGCCGAAUAAGGUGAAAUUAGAUCCUCAUUCACGAUAGAUAUUCAAUCGUCCUUAUCACUCCGAAACGUUUAUAUGCUAGUUCUAAUAUCGUAUCCAUACGCUUAGAAUCCUAAACACAUAAGGUUUCCAGAUCCGGUCGGCAACAGACCAUAGAUCCGAACAAAUAAUAGCAUCAAUAUAACUAUCACACAAAACAUUUUGCACAUAAAAGCAUUUUAGGCAUCAUUCCUAAAAUAAACUAGUGCUUGUGUCAAUUUAGGUGUACUACCUAACAUAUUUUAGACACACUCCUCACAAUCAUUACUUAGCAUUCUAAGUUUAAGUCUAGAAAUUUCCUACAAAUUCCUAGUUCGCUUAAACUAAUGCUCUGAUACCAACUGUGACAUCCCCAAUUUCACGGCCAGAAAAGACCGAUUUGUUUAUGCUUUGUUUUAUAAAACAGAGUGAUCGUUUAAAGAAAACGGUUGCGGAAUUUGUUCCCAAAAUAAAAUAUGAUAACCAUUUAUCAAAACGUUUCUCAAAGAGAAUGUAUUUUCAUUAAAUAAUAAAACCUCGGGAUGUCAUGUUCCGAUACAGACCAAAAGCAUAAACAAUAAUAAAUAGACCUUACAACAGUUAUUCAUAACUACUGGCCUAUAAUCCAAAAUCUCUCGUCAAGUCCACCAACUUAUACUCUUGUGCCAUUACCUGUAAUGCAAAGAAAACUGAGUGGGUCAGGCUUGGGAGCCUGGUGAGCAUAUAGGGUUUUCAACCCACAAUAAUAUAAUUAUUAUAUUCAACCAUCAAACAAUCAACUCAAUUACUCAUCCCUAUUAUCUUUCUUAGGAUUUUACCCUAGGAAUUCAACUACCCGUCAUUCAUUCAUUCCUAAGGAUUGACCUAAGGAAUUAGCACAAACUUCCAUUGCUACAUAAGGCGCAUCUGCCAACAUUAUCCUUUAAGCGCCUCUGCCAGGAUUACGUCAUACACUAUGAGGCGCGACUGCCAGGUUUAUGACAUUCUCUUUUAGGCGCAUCUGCCGACAUUAUCUUAUAAGCGCAUCUGCCAAGAUUAUCCUAUAAGCGCAUCUGCUAUUGUUAUGACAAUCUCUAUUUGGCGCAUCUGCCAAGAUCACGACAUUCACUACUUGGUGCAUCUACCGAUAUUAUUCUCAAGCGCAUCUGCUAGUUUUAUGACAUUCUUUAUUUGGUGCAUCUACCAAUAUCAUUCUUAAUCAUCUUUCAUACCUCAUCAUUUUAUCACAUACCAACUAUCUCAUCUACCCAUGUUCUACCCAACAUAUUUGUAGAUAUAAAAUACAUAUACAGUUUAACUCAUUUAAAAACUAUAUAAAACAUCAAUUCAUACUCAUCUCAAAUAAACAACAAUAUAUAAACACAUAGCACAUAUUUUAUAACAAAUACUUCAUAUUUAUGUGUUAGAAGAAAGUAACCACACACUCACCCAAACAUAUAGUUAAUACAUUCAAACAAUACUUGUAUUAUACCCGUGUUUAUGAAAGGGACUAUACACCCACACAUAUAAACAACUUUAUAUUAUACACAUAGCACGUAUUUUAUAGAAAAUACUUAAUAUUUAUG